GUAAACCGGGAAGCUAAUACCUGAUAAUAUUUUAAACCGCAUGGUUCAAAAGUGAAAGACGGUCUUGCUGUCACUUAUAGAUGGAUCCGCGCUGCAUUAGCUAGUUGGUAAGGUAACGGCUUACCAAGGCAACGAUGCAUAGCCGACCUGAGAGGGUGAUCGGCCACACUGGAACUGAGACACGGUCCAG
rnacentral:rRNA from 1 species